rnacentral:rRNA from 1 species
AUUUUGACUGUACAAAGGUAGCAUAAUCAAUAGUCUCUUAAUUGGUGACUUGUAUGAAAGAUUGGAUGAGAUAUAUACUGUCUCUAAUUAAUUUAUAGAAAUUAAUUUUUUAGUAAAAAAGCUAAAAUAAUUUUAAAAGACGAGAAGACCCUAUAGAGUUUAAUAAUUUAUUUAAUUAUUAUUAAUAUAUAAUUUUUAAAAUUAAAAUUAAAUAAAUUAUUUUGUUGGGGUGAUAAAAAAAUUAAAUUAACUUUUUUUAAUUAUUAACAUUAAUUUAUGAAUAAAUGAUCCAUUUAUAGUGAUUAAAAGAAAAAAUUACCUUAGGGAUAACAGCGUAAUUUUUUUUUUUAGUUCAAAUAGGAAAAAAAG